GCUUGCUUUCUUUGCUGGCGACCGGCGCACGGGUGAGUAACACGUAUCCAACCUACCCUUUACUCGGGGAUAGCCUUUCGAAAGAAAGAUUAAUACCCGAUAGCAUAAUGAUUCCGCAUGGUUUCAUUAUUAAAGGAUUCCGGUAAAGGAUGGGGAUGCGUUCCAUUAGGUUGUUGGUGGGGUAACGGCCCACCAAGCCUUCGAUGGAUAGGGGUUCUGAGAGGAAGGUCCCCCACAUUGGAACUGAGACACAGUCCAAACUCCUACGGGAGGCAGCAUG
rnacentral:rRNA from 1 species